UACGUAGGGUGCAAGCGUUAAUCGGAAUUACUGGGCGUAAAGCGUGCGCAGGCGGUUUUGUAAGUUUGUCGUGAAAGCCCCGGGCUCAACCUGGGAAUUGCGAUGAAGACUGCAAGGCUUGAAUCUGGCAGAGGGGGGUAGAAUUCCACGUGUAGCAGUGAAAUGCGUAGAUAUGUGGAGGAACACCGAUGGCGAAGGCAGCCCCCUGGGUCAAGACUGACGCUCAUGCACGAAAGCGUGGGGAGCAAACAGG
rnacentral:rRNA from 1 species